CAAGGAAUUUUGGGCAAUGGGGGAAACCCUGACCCAGCGACGCCGCGUGGGGGAUGACGGCCUUCGGGUUGUAAACCCCUUUUCUCAGGGACGAAACUGACGGUACCUGAGGAAGAAGCCCCGGCUAACUACGUGCCAGCAGCCGCGGUAAUACGUAGGGGGCGAGCGUUGUCCGGAAUUACUGGGCGUAAAGCGCACGUAGGUGGCAGUCUAAGAUGGGCGUGAAAUCUCCGGGCUCACCUCGGAGGGGUCGUCCGUGACUGGAGUGCUAGGGGCUGGUAGAGGCAGGUGGAAUUCCCGGUGGAGCGGUGAAAUGCGUAGAGAUCGGGAGGAACACCAGUGGCGAAGGCGACCUGCUGGGCCAGUACCGACGCUGAGGUGCGAAAGCGUGGGGAGCGAACCGGAUAGAUACCCGGGUAGUCCACGCCCUAAACGAUGGGUACUAGGCGUGGGGGGUAUCGGACCCCCUCCGUCGCCGGAGCUAACGCGCGAAGUACCCCGCCUCGGGGAGUACGGCCG
rnacentral:rRNA from 1 species